rnacentral:rRNA from 1 species
GCGAGUGGAGCGGGAAGAGCUCAAAUUUGAAAGCUGGUACCUUUGGUGCCCGCGUUGUAAUCUCGAGACGCGUUUUCCGCGCGGCGCUAUGGACAAGUUCCUUGGAACAGGACAUCGUAGAGGGUGAAAAUCCCGUACUUGCCAUGGAUGCACCGUGCUUUGUGAUACGUGCUCAAAGAGUCGAGUUGUUUGGGAUUGCAGCUCAAAAUGGGUGGUAGACUCCAUCUAAAGCUAAAUAUCGGGGAGAGACCGAUAGCGAACAAGUACCGUGAGGGAAAGAUGAAAAGCACUUUGGAAAGAGAGUUAAAAGUACGUGAAAUUGUCGAAAGGGAAGCGCUUGAAGUCAGCCAUGCCGCUCAGGACUCAGCCUGGCUUUUGCUUGGUGUACUUCCUGGGUAGCAAGUCAGCAUUGGUUUGGACCGUCGGAGAAGCAUGGCAGGAAUGUGACGCCCUCGGGCGUGUUAUAGCCUGCCAUUGGAUACGCCGGUCUAGACCAAGGAACGCAGUGCGCCUUACGGCGGGUCUUCGGACACCUUCGCACUUAGGAUGCUGGCGUAAUGGCUUUAAGCGGC